CAUCAAUAGUCUGGAAUGUACUCUGGGUCAUUUCAUGGUUACAACCAGUCCUAUAAGCGGACUCAUUUGGCAUUCAUCUUUUUCAGUUGAGAACUACUACCCCCGCAAUGUCCCUCGUCGGCCUGAAAUGUCACCUUGAGAGAAGCAUGCGUGCCUUUGGGGGGCGAAAGAUUUUCAACUUCUCGAGGCUCCUCACAAAGGGUGACAAUGGUGCAACCUACCAGAAGUACCACAGAAGGAAAAACUAGCUAGGGAGAAGACGACUCGCAGGACAACCACAAAGGUCCUGUUUCCUACUACCCAAGCUAUCCUACCCCAGCGGGAUCCCCCAGAAGCCCAGGCCUGAGAGUUCGCCUUUCCGGACACAGGUUUCUGAACUGGGGAAGAAAUGCAAAGGCCUGCCCUGCGAGCCCAGAAGUUCCUCUAUCACCUGCUCUGGAGGUGGUAAAGCUGUUCUCCUCAGGACUAGACGCUGACUCAAUCCUUAUUGGCGGAAUUGGCAGCCUGAAGUUAUCCAGUGAAAGAGAACAGGAGUGAAGAUAAUAAGAGGAGCUGCCACUGUGAAAGGUCUUUGGUACAGGAUCAGCAUAUCUAAGUUCUUCAUUGCUUUCCGCUCUCUCCUGGUUUGCUGGAAAAAAUACCCAAAUGUCAAUCAAUGGCUGGGCACACCGAAUGGCCCCCGGUUGAGGUUCUACCCUCUCAGUCAUUGGCAUUACUUUGUCGGGUUGGGCAGCUUCCGUGUACCUUCCAUUGUAUAGGAUUUCUGCUAUCGGGGAGAAUCUUUUUAGAGGAUAGGGUGAAGGCAAGAGGAGACUGGCCAGAGACAUAUCUCUGCUCUCUGUCACACACACCUUUGUGCCUCAUCUACCUGCAUGAGGUGAUUUUCUGCCGACCCAGAGACUGAGAAGAUUUCAGAUUGCAAAUAAUUCAUCGUCCUUCCCAGGGGCAUCAGGUACCUUCCAUUCUCAUCUCUGAACACGCAGCAUACGGAAAAUUCUGGAGGUACAGCAUGGAGGUAGAAUAAGUAAAUAGCAACAAUUAAUGCCUUUGGUUCAUGGAGCCGCAAAAGCAAAAAUUGUGUUCCAGGCCUGCUUUUUCUUUAUUCCUCUUGCACUUCACAAGCCUGAAGGAAGUGGGCAGGAAAAAAGUCAGAGGUCUCACCUCCUGGACACUUGAUCCUCUGUAGGCAGCCCUGCUCUGGCCAGUGUUUGGCGUCAGCCUGUGUCCAGUGGUGGCAAUGGUAGGGCCCAUCCCUCCAGCCCAGGGGGCCGCCUCUGCUCCACUGUGUGUGUGGAGUGUGGCCGUUUAGUCUUGUGCCUGCCUUUAUGGAGAGUUCCUGCCCAGCCUCUUGGGCCAGUUCCCUGGGUCCAGGUUCUUUUCCAAUUGUCCACAUCCUGUGGUACCCACAUUUCCCCCACCCAGGGACUGAGUUUCCCAAUGUUCCAGCUGCAGAAUCUCCCCCAGGCAGGAAACUUUGUCCCCCAGUCAUCACAGCCCAGCUCCGGUAGGAGAUACAAGCAGAAGUGUGGUGUGUGGAGGAGAUGGCGGGUUUUGCUGCAUCCCCUUGCUCUAGGAACUGCCAGCCCACCAUCCAGCUGCCUCCUACCGCCACUUUGGUGGAUAACCCUCUGCCAUUGCUGUCUAGAAUAUUCAAAUGGGCAAGAUGUCUCCAGAUACUCCACCCCAUGGAGUCAUGGUCUCUCUUCCUCUCCUUACCCAGAAUGCCCCAAUCUUUUUCCCUGUAGUCAUCAAGCUCGUGAGCCAUUCAAGUGUGCUAUUUUUACGAGAGUGUGAAGGAUUCUCAGGGUACAAACUAUAUUUAGCAGAGGUUAAAGUUCACAUUACACAAUCAGUGCGGCAGAGGAUGAAAUCAUUAAACAGCCUGUGGACUUUUCCAGAACUAACACUUCUCCUUUCCAUUCUGCCUCCAGAUAGCUCAAGCCCUUUGUUUUCUCUAAGAAAAGGAGUCCUUUUCUUGUUAGGCCUCAAGUCUCUACCUCCGCCUCAGACUGAGAUUUUUCUUAUAGCCAUCCGAACCCCUGAGUUAGCAGGAAUCUAUUAAUAUGGGGAAAUGUUCAGUGGAACCCUUCCACUGUUGAAAAAUCUAGUCUAGAAAUUCUUAAACAUGCAAGCUACCCACCUAGAGGCUUGGAUUAACACUGGCUGACAACUGUGGUUGGCUUUCCAGGCCACGGUAUUAAGGGCUUAUAUUUGAGGAAAUCAGUAUAAAAAUGAAGAGGAAGGCUCCAAGCUAGCUCCUCAGUAAGAGAGGAGCUGGAGACCAGGACCUAGGACUAGGUAUGCAACAUGAUACUCUGCCUAGAUGGCCUCUCAGCCGCUGGAAGCGCCGCUUGCAAAGAGCCCCAGCUUCCAGCCCUGUGCAGGAAGUGCGUAGGCUGAAGAGAGACCCCUCGCUCAAAGUGACACCCCCUUCCUGGGGCAGCCUGCAUCCAAUGACUAGUCAGGGUUCAAUAUAGAGGCCUGGCCCCUGCACCUCAACUCAGGACAACUCUAAAGCAGCAGCCCUGCUUCAGAGCUCCCAGGGAGGUUAAGGGAACCCUUUGUUAAGACGGCCUCCUGUACUGCCCAACUUCCCGCUCUGCCUCUUGCACAGGUAGAAAUCUCAAGAGCACUUCUUGAUACAAUAAGUCCACAUUUAACGUCGUCGAUAGGUUCUUGGAACUACCGCGUAACUACCAAUGAAACCAAUUUCACCGAAGGCUAAUUGACGUAAACAAGAGUUACGUUCCUACGACAUCUCAUUGCUGUUACAACGAAAGGAUGUUGAAUAGAACGACGUUAUUAGAGGACGUGCUGUACACUCCUGCAUUCAGUCUCCAUCUCAGAGUCGGCUCGCCAGGGAACCCAACCUGAGACAAUGACCAAAAAACCUUAGUAACAUUUCCUAAACUAUGUGAUGUUCGCAUGUCGUCUUUUUGGGGAGAUUCUUCAAUAAAGCUCUUCAAAUCGCAAAUGUGUUGCCUCCAAUUUUCUAUACAAGUGUUGUCAGCAGACCCAGCAGCAUCAAUACCCCAGGUGAGGGGAUGAGAAAUGGGGUAUCUCAGUCCCUAUCCCAGACCAACGAUAUCAGAAUCUGUAUUUUAACAAGAUCCUCAGAUGAUUGAUAUGUAUAUUCAUGUCUGAGAAGCAUGGUAAUUGGAUAAGAAAUUAUUGAGUAGCAGUGUCUGCUGGGAGAGCAGGAGAAGUAUCCUGGCCCAAUGGGAGUCAUCUCUUUUUAGUUCGGAAGUUAUUUUUCCUGCUGAAAGGAGUCUUAACACCUUGUGUAUUUGCCAGGGUCCAGUCACAGCAGGACAGAAAACAGGCAAAUGGUCAGACAAGAAAUCGCUCAGGUUAGGGAACUGAGCUGCACUACGAAGCAAAGAAGGGAGAAGCAUGUAUGUUCUCGGAGUAUGGAGGAAAGAUGAAACACUUCCCUUGCAGUGCGAUGGAUGGCCUUUGAACACAAGGAAUGACUUAGAACUUCCCCACAUGAUCAUAAGGAA